AGAGUUUGAUCAUGGCUCAGAACGAACGCUGGCGGCAUGCCUAACACAUGCAAGUCGAACGAGACCUUCGGGUCUAGUGGCGCACGGGUGCGUAACACGUGGGAAUCUGCCCUUUGGUUCGGAAUAACUCAGGGAAACUUGAGCUAAUACCGGAUAAUGACGUAAGUCCAAAGAUUUAUCGCCGAAGGAUGAGCCCGCGUAGGAUUAGGUAGUUGGUGGGGUAAUGGCCCACCAAGCCGACGAUCCUUAGCUGGUCUGAGAGGAUGAUCAGCCACACUGGGACUGAGACACGGCCCAGACUCCUACGGGAGGCAGCAGUGGGGAAUAUUGGACAAUGGGCGAAAGCCUGAUCCAGCAAUGCCGCGUGAGUGAUGAAGGCCUUAGGGUUGUAAAGCUCUUUUACCAGGGAUGAUAAUGACAGUACCUGGAGAAUAAGCUCCGGCUAACUCCGUGCCAGCAGCCGCGGUAAUACGGAGGGAGCUAGCGUUGUUCGGAAUUACUGGGCGUAAAGCGCACGUAGGCGGCUAUUCAAGUCGGGGGUGAAAGCCCGGGGCUCAACCCCGGAACUGCCCUCGAAACUAGGUAGCUAGAAUCUUGGAGAGGCGAGUGGAAUUCCGAGUGUAGAGGUGAAAUUCGUAGAUAUUCGGAAGAACACCAGUGGCGAAGGCGACUCGCUGGACAAGUAUUGACGCUGAGGUGCGAAAGCGU
rnacentral:rRNA from 1 species